rnacentral:rRNA from 1 species
GCGGAAAUGAUGGGCAUAGCUGAUUGCAUUAACAAAAAGUUAGUGUAAGAUCGACUAUGUCGAAUAAAAUUCUAGAUAGAAUUAUGAUAAUGACAUUAUCUAUCUAUGUGUCUUGACCAAAUUACGUGCCAGCAGUCGCGGUAAUACGUAAAAGACUAGUGUUAUUCAUCUUUAAUAGGUUUAAAGGGUACUUAGACGGUAUAUUAAGCCUGAAUAGGGAACUAAUAUACUAGAGUUUGAUGUAAGGAAGCAUGAAAGUACUGUUGGAGUAGAGAUAAAAUUCUAUAAUACCAAUUAUGGCACAGGUUUAGGCGAAAGCAUCUUCUUAUGUAAUAACUGACGUUGAAGGACGAAGGCUUUGUGUCGCGAACAGGAUUAGAUACCCCAGUAGUCUUAGCAGAAAACGAUGAAUGUCAUAGAUUAGAUUUAAUUUACUCUAUAAAUUAAAGUGUAAGCAUUCCACCUCACGAGUAAUUUGGCAACAUUGGAACUGAAAUCAUUAGACCGUUUCUGAAACCAGUAGUGAAGUAUGUUGUUUAAUUAGAUAGCACGCAAAGAACCUUACCACAAUUUGAAUAAGUUCUAUGAUCUUACAAGCGCUGCACGGCUGUCUACAGUUAAUGUCGUGAGAUUUUGGUUAGUUCCAUUAAAUUAACGCAAACCCU